rnacentral:rRNA from 1 species
UAAUACGGAGGAUCCAAGCGUUAUCCGGAUUUAUUGGGUUUAAAGGGUCCGCAGGCGGAAUAUUAAGUCAGUGGUGAAAUCCUACAGCUUAACUGUAGAACUGCCAUUGAUACUGGUUUUCUUGAGUGCACCUGAAGUGGGCGGAAUGUGUCAUGUAGCGGUGAAAUGCUUAGAUAUGACACAGAACACCAAUUGCGAAGGCAGCUCACUAAAGUGUAACUGACGCUGAGGGACGAAAGCGUGGGUAGCGAACAGGAUUAGAUACCCUGGUAGUCCACGCCGUAAACGAUGAUCACUAGAUGUUGGCAAUACACCGUCAGUAUCUGAGCGAAAGCGUUAAGUGAUCUACCUGGGGAGUACGGUCGCAAGAUUG